UACAGAGGGUGCGAGCGUUGUCCGGAAUCAUUGGGCGUAAAGAGCGUGUAGGCGGCCCGGUAAGUCCGCUGUAAAAGUCAAAGGCUCAACCUUUGAAUGUCAGUGGAUACUGCCGGGCUAGAGUCCGGAAGAGGCGAGUGGAACUCCUGGUGUGAGCGGUGGAAUGCGCAGAUAUCAGGAAGAACACCAACGGCGAAGGCAGCUCGCUAGGACGGUACUGACGCUGAGAC
rnacentral:rRNA from 1 species